rnacentral:misc_RNA from 1 species
UGAAAAUACUGAAUUUGAAAAACAAAAAUUUUUAAUUUAAUUAAAAAUAUCUUUACAGCAUUCUUUAUUCGUCCAUUUUAUAAAAUGAUGCUUGGAAAACCUAUUAGCCUUAAAGAUAUGGAAUCAGUGGAUUCUGAAUAUUAUAAUUCACUGUUAUGGAUUAUGGAGAAUGAUCCUGCCGACUUGGACUUGAGGUUUUCUGUAGAUGAAGAUUUAUUUGGUCAAAUGCAGCAGAGAGAUUUAAAACCAAAUGGUAGUGAAAUUCCAGUAACUCAAGAAAAUAAGAUGGAAUACAUAAAUUUAGUUAUUCAGUGGAGAUUUGUUUCAAGAAUAGAACCACAAAUGAAUGCAUUUCUGGAAGGUUUUGGAGAAGUCGUGCCAAUGCACUUGAUAAAGCUAUUUGAUGAAAAUGAAUUAGAAUUGCUAAUGUGUGGUAUAGGCAAAAUUGAUGUGAAAGAUUGGAAACAAAACACAGUUUACAAAGGGGAUUACCAUGCUAAUCAUAUUGUAAUCCAGUGGUUUUGGAGAAUGGUCAUGUCAUUUUCUAAUGAAAUGAGAGCAAGAUUGCUUCAGUUUGUUACUGGAACCUCUAGAGUACCCAUGAAUGGCUUUAAAGAACUGUAUGGUAGUAAUGGCCCUCAACUUUUCACUAUAGAGAAAUGGGGUUCCACAGAUAACCUUCCUCGAUCACAUACAUGCAAUGUACGUAGACCUAUCAAUGGUGUGAUGAUGUUAUUUCUGAUGAAUCCCAUUUUUGCUUACACACAACAGCAUCGUUAUGGCCAUAUUCAUGUGCUGAAGCACUGAAAGGGAAGAAUAUUGGAAGCUUGUUUUCUCUAUCUUCAUAUCAACCCAGCAAAUGAAUUGAAGCUUUAACAGAAUUGACUUACCACCAUAUGACAGCUAUCAAGAACUAAGAGAUCGGUUAAUAAAAGCCAUUGAAGGAUCAGAAACGUUUGGCGGUGUGGACUAAUUAUAAUUACAUGAAUAACCAAUUCUGAAAUGUGUGCCUGCAUGAGCUCAACACUGAGGAAAAUUUCUGAUUCCAGACUACUUUAUUUAAAGUGUAUAUAUUAUGUAAUAAUAACAAAUUAGUUUAGGAUAUUUUCCAACUUUUGAAUGUUUUAUUUGUAAAAAAUUUGCUAAGGUAUCUUUCAUGAGCAAGGGAUAGCUAGAAAAAUGUUUGUACAAAUUUUGUUUUUGCUGUUGAAUGUUAGUCCAUGGUUUGUGCGUGCUUUUGUCAACCCUUGUUGCUCAAGUUUUAAACUGUGGACUUAAUCAUUUGAGUAAUUGAGCCUUAAACUGCUGUAUAUGUGAUCUAGUUGCUUUUUUAUGUGUUUUAUGAUUUAAAAGCUCCAACGUCUUUAUUGCAAUGUACUGUCAUAUGAUUUAUGUAUAAAAUUGAGUUGUGUAUAUUUUAUGCGUAAGAAAUGUCAAAUUUAUGUAUAUACGAUUUAAAUGUUGUAAAUUGAGCCCAACAAAUUCUGUUUGUACAAAAUCUUAGAAUAUAUUAAGGUUGAAUGUGUAGAGUUAAAAUAAGGUCCUGGUUUUGUGUGCUUUAGUACUGUCCUUCAGGUUGAUCUAAUUUCUUUCCAUGCAGCUGAAAUGCUUACAAGAAAAGGUUUUUCAUAAUACAUUAUAAAUUGAAAGUAAAUCAGUUCUUGAUUCAAAAUAAUUUAUAUCUGUGUUCUUUCAUUAGUAAAUGUUACAUCUUUAGGAACCCAUAAAAAGUAAGUACCAUUUAAUAUUGGUCAUUACAUUUUGAGCUAUGCACAUUAUUCAAAAAAAAAAACAUUACUUUCCUAGGAAUAUUUAUAACUAGCAAUAAAUUACAGAAAAUGGUCUUCUAAAUAUACUUUUCUUUAAAAGGAACCUUCUAAUGUAUAUACUAUAAAUUAGGAAGAAUUUAUCUAAAAGUUAGUAAUAUGUUAAUUUCCAUAGUUUGGAAAACUGAUAUUACUUCUGAGUAAUUUUGACAAAACUAUAUGAUAGUUUUUGGCAUUCAGAGUUAAGAGUUUUAGGCAUAUAUGUAUAGUUACUAAAGUAGAAUACUCACUGAUUUGUUGAUUAUUUUAUUUUUACUCAAAAUUUGUUUUUGAAAUCUAGUUUACUGUAUUAACCAAAAAUAUUAAUAAUAAAUGAAAUAUAAGGAAUUUAUUAAUGGUAGACUGUGUUUUAAAAUGUCAAAUUGGAAAAUAUCAUCAGAACAUUAUUAUAAAUUCAUUAAAUUUCAGCCAAAAUAGUGAGAUGUAAGUUUUUAUAAUGUAGCAUGUGGUAUAUAAUAUUAAUUUUUAAGCAUUUUAUAAUCUGUCAUUCUAAUUUUUGUAUCAAAAUGGUAAUUUAUAAUUUUUAAUUUCUUCACAACUGUACUUAUCUUUAUUAUUUUAUGUUGACUUACUUCAUAUUUGAAUAGCUGGCUGUAAGGCAUUCAUUAACAUUUAUGUAUAUAAAAUAAGGUAAUAUUGGAAUUCUUUGCAUAAAAGUAUUGAAUUGUGAUAAUUUAAAACUUAUUUACAUAUUUAUAAUUUAAACUAUAUGCAUACUUGUUUUUUUCUUCAUAUUCUAUUCAUUCAAAUUUAAUCAGAUUAUUGUUUCAUAAAAUUAUUUUCAUAAAAGUAUUUAAUUGUGAUAAUUUAAAAUUUAUUUACAUAUUUAUGAUUUUAACUAUACACAUGCAUACUUGCUUUUUUCCCCCUUCAUAUUCUAUUCAUUCAAAUUUAAUGAGAGUUCAAGAUAUUCAGCAAAUGAAAUGUUGAAGUUUCAUGGUAAUUGUUCAAAUUGAAAAGAUUUUCAGCGUGGAUUAGAAAAGCUUUAUUUAUAGUGAAAAGCCUAUAUCAUUAUUUGAAGCAUAAAUUAGCAGCAUACUUUUUAUGCAAGAAUGUAGAUAUUACUUUGUAAUAACAAAUACAUGCUCUAUAUUUACUUAGUCCUGCUAAAGCUGUUGGAAAGGUAAUGUGCCUUAUCUAAAUUUUGUGGUAUUAAUUGAUCACAAAAUUGUAUUCCAGUUUGUUUAACUUAAGGUGCAUUAUGAAAAUAAAUUAUUGGUAAUAAUUGAAA